rnacentral:rRNA from 1 species
AACGAACGCUGGCGGCAUGCCUAACACAUGCAAGUCGAACGAGACCUUCGGGUCUAGUGGCGCACGGGUGCGUAACGCGUGGGAACCUGCCCUUAGGUUCGGAAUAACUCCCCGAAAGGGGUGCUAAUACCGGAUAAUGUCUUCGGACCAAAGAUUUAUCGCCUUUGGAUGGGCCCGCGUUGGAUUAGCUAGUUGGUAGGGUAAAAGCCUACCAAGGCGACGAUCCAUAGCUGGUCUGAGAGGAUGAUCAGCCACACUGGGACUGAGACACGGCCCAGACUCCUACGGGAGGCAGCAGUGGAGAAUAUUGGACAAUGGGCGAAAGCCUGAUCCAGCAAUGCCGCGUGAGUGAUGAAGGCCUUAGGGUUGUAAAUCUCUUUUACCCGAGAUGAUAAUGACAGUACCGGGAGAAUAAGCUCCGGCUAACUCCGUG